GGUAGGGUAAGAUUAUAACACACUGUAGGGUAGGGUUAUAACUGUAGGUUAGGGUUAUAACACACUGUAGGGUAGAGUUAUAACUGUAGGGUAAGAUUAUAACACAAUGUAGGCAAGGGUUAUAACUGUAGGGUAGGGUUAUAACACACUAUAGGGUAGGCUUAUAACACACUGUAGGAUAAGGUUAUAACACACUGUAGGGUAGAGUUAUAACUGUAGGGUAAGAUUAUAACACACUGUAGGCAAGGGUUAUAACUGUAGGGUAGGGUUAUAAUACACUGUAGGGUAGGCUUAUAACACACUGUAGGAUAAGGNNNNNNNNNNCUGUAGGGUAGGGUUAUAACACACUGUAGGGUAGGGUUAUAACACACUGUAGGGUAGGGUAAGAUUAUAACACACUGUAGGGUAGGGUUAUAACUGUAGGUUAGGGUUAUAACACACUGUAGGGUAGAGUUAUAACUGUAGGGUAAGAUUAUAACACAAUGUAGGCAAGGGUUAUAACUGUAGGGUAGGGUUAUAACACACUAUAGGGUAGGCUUAUAACACACUGUAGGAUAAGGUUAUAACACACUGUAGGGUAGAGUUAUAACUGUAGGGUAAGAUUAUAACACACUGUAGGCAAGGGUUAUAACUGUAGGGUAGGGUUAUAAUACACUGUAGGGUAGGCUUAUAACACACUGUAGGAUAAGGUUAUAACACACUGUAGGGAAGGGUUAUAACUGUAGGGUAGGGUUAUAACACACUGUAGGGUAGAGUUAUAACUGUAGGGUAAGAUUAUAACACACUGUAGACCUGCCUGUCUGUGGGGGAAGGGCUGUGGGAGUAGACUAUACUGGGACCUGCCACCUGUCUGUCUGUGGGGGAAGGGCUGUGGGAGUAGACUAUACUGGGACCUGCCACCUGUCUGUCUGUGGGGGAAGGGCUGUGUGAGUAGACUAUACUGGGUAAGGUUAUAACACACUGUAGGGUAGGGUUAUAACACACUGUAGGGUAAGGUUAUAACACAGUGUAGGGUAAGAUUAUAACACACUGUAGGAUAGAGUUAUAACACACUGUAGGGUAGGGUUAUAACACACUGUAGGGUAAGGUUAUAACACACUGUAGGGUAAGAUUAUAACACACUGUAGGAUAGAGUUAUAACACACUGUAGGGUAGGGUUAUAACACACUGUAGGGUAGGGUUAUAACACACUGUAGGGUAGGGUAAGAUUAUAACACACUGUAGGGUAGGGUUAUAACUGUAGGUUAGGGUUAUAACACACUGUAGGGUAGAGUUAUAACUGUAGGGUAAGAUUAUAACACAAUGUAGGCAAGGGUUAUAACUGUAGGGUAGGGUUAUAACACACU
rnacentral:lncRNA from 13 species